rnacentral:rRNA from 1 species
AUGGCCGUGAACUGCCUAUACGUCGCCGCCGCAUCCACGGCGGCCAGUGCCGCCGCGCUGCAGUGGUGGGCGGCGUCCUUCCUCGACGCCCCACGGGACGGGGAUGUCGGCGGCGGGGACUGGCUCGAGACCUCGUUGCGAUCGCACGUGACCGUCGCGCUCUUAGCGAAUCUGGCGGCGCACGUCCUCCUCGUCCUCCUCCUAGCUCUCAAGACAUUAUUUUUUGUUCGGUUAACUUCUACAGAGACUAGAAAAGUGUUGGAACACAUCAUUAACUAUGUAAUCUACAAGGGAACUUUUCUCCCAUUGGUUGUGCCUCCUAAUUCUCAACAAAUAAUCCUUUGGUCAACUUGGCUAGUCCUUCUUUGUUCACUGAAGAUGUUUCAAUCAUUGGCCAGAGAACGUCUUGAGUGCCUCAAUGCGUCACCCUCAGCAACUCCAUUGAAAUAUCUCCGUGUAUAUUCUGCGCUGUUGCUGGUUCUUUCGACUGAUCUACUAUGGAUGAAGCUUUGUGUAGGGUUCUGCAGUUCAUGCAAUUCUACGUUAUUUUGGCUUAUGUUAUUUGAGCCACUUAGUAUUGCCUUUGAGUCACUGCAGUCUAUCAUGGUGCAUGGAUUUCAGUUGUUUGACAUUUGGCAGCGACAUCUGAUGGACAGUGGUGUGGGCUAUCUUGAUUUCCAAAAAACUUAUAAACAAGCAGCAGGUUCAUUUUCUGAAUGGAGAGGCCAACUUAUAAGGAAUUUUGGUUUUGUCAUUGACCUGAUAAGCUUGUUGAUGUCACUUGGUCAUUAUUCGAUGAUCUUUUGGCUCCGUGGUAUGGCGUUUCACCUGGUCGACGCAGUCCUCCUGUUGAACUUGCGUGCUCUUGUAGUUUCAUUUUUGAAGAGGAUUAAGACCUACAUUAAGUUAAGAAAGGCACUCCGUUCGCUCGAUGGAGCACUCCCAGAUGCUAAAUACGAUGAGAUCUGCACAUAUGAUGAUGAGUGUGCCAUCUGCCGGGGACCAAUGGCUCGAGCUAAAAAGUUGCCUUGCGACCAUCUAUUUCAUCUACCUUGCUUGCGAUCUUGGUUGGAUCAAGGAUUAAUGGAGGGUUACUCUUGUCCAACUUGUCGAAGGCCACUCUUUCUUUCAGCUCAAGGACAUUCUAGGUCAACAACAGCAGAGGUAGCAAAUGUUCAGCUAAUUUCGGAACAGCUAAAUAUGGGAUUAAAUCAGCAAAGGGUUCCUGAACAGCAGGAUCCUUCAGAUGGUGUUUGGAGAGGUGCGGGUCUUGAUUCUCGCUGGGCACCACCGUGGUCGAGCCCUGGGGUGGAUGACCCCAGUUCCUCUAGUGCAGUGAGAUCCGUGGGGCUUAGUGGAGUUCAGAUGAUGAUGAGGCAGUUCGCUUCUGUGACUGAUAAUUAUGGGCAUGCAGAUGCCACCUGGAAUCUGUGGCCUGAGUCAAUGGCAGGCCCUUCAAUUGUUCCAUCAUCUUCCUCGAGGCCUGAUGUGGCUUCUGCUAGCUUGCGGUUCCGAGGCACGGCAGGAACAAUUAAUGGAAGCAUGUCGCGGGUUAAUACCAUGGUAGAUAGAGUACGGGAAGUUUUACCCCAUAUGCCUGACGAGCUAAUUAUUGAAGACCUGAUGAGAACGAAUAAUGUGAAUGCCACUGUGAAUAAUCUUCUGCUGAUGCAAUGA